rnacentral:rRNA from 1 species
ACGGAGGUGGCAAGCGUUACUCGGAUUGAUUGGGUGUAAAGGGUAUGUAGGUGGUAAAUUAAGUCGAACGUGAAAUCCCUUGGCUUAACCAAGGAACUGCGUUCGAAACUGAUUUGCUUGAGCGACGGAGAGGAAAGCGGAAUUCCCGGUGUAACAGUGAAAUGUGUAGAUAUCGGGAGGAACACCAGUGGCGAAGGCGGCUUUCUGGACGUUUGCUGACACUGAAAUACGAGAGCUAGGGGAGCAAACAGGAUUAGAUACCCUGGUAGUCCUAGCCGUAAACGAUGUGCACUAGGUGUCUGGCCCUCUGGGCUAGGUGCCGCAGUUAACACUUUAAGUGCACCACCUGGGGAGUACGGUCGCAAGACUG